rnacentral:rRNA from 1 species
GUAGGUGGCAAGCGUUGUCCGGAAUUAUUGGGCGUAAAGCGCGCGCAGGUGGUUCUUUAAGUCUGAUGUGAAAGCCCCCGGCUCAACCGGGGAGGGUCAUUGGAAACUGGGGAACUUGAGUGCAGGAGAGGAAAGUGGAAUUCCACGUGUAGCGGUGAAAUGCGUAGAUAUGUGGAGGAACACAAGUGGCGAAGGCGACUUUCUGGCCUGUAACUGACACUGAGGCGCGAAAGCGUGGGGAGCAAACAGGGAUUAGAUACCCUGGUAGUCCACGCCGUAAACGAUGAGUGCUAAGUGUUGGGGGGGUUUCCCGCCCCUCAGUGCUGCAGCUAACGCAUUAAGCACUCCGCCUGGGGAGUACGGUCGCAAGACUG